rnacentral:misc_RNA from 1 species
UCCGGCUUGUCACCGGCAGUCUCCUUAAAGUGCUCUUGCGUAGCAACCAAGGAUAAGGGUUGCGCUCGUUGCGGGACUUAACCCAACAUCUCACGACACGAGCUGACGACAGCCAUGCAGCACCUGUGCGCCGGUUCUCUUGCGAGCACGCCUGAAUCUCUCCAGGCUUCCGGCCAUGUCAAGGGUAGGUAAGGUUUUUCGCGUGGCAUCGAAUUAAUCCACAUCAUCCACCGCUUGUGCGGGUCCCCGUCAAUUCCUUUGAGUUUUAAUCUUGCGACCGUACUCCCCAGGCGGUCAACUUCAUGCGUUAGCUUCGUUACCAAGAAACAACUUCCCCGACAACUAGUUGACAUCGUUUAUAGCGUGGACUAC